rnacentral:rRNA from 1 species
GACGAACGCUGGCGGCGUGCUUAACACAUGCAAGUCGAACGGAAAGGCCCUGCUUUUGUGGGGUGCUCGAGUGGCGAACGGGUGAGUAACACGUGAGUAACCUGCCCUUGACUUUGGGAUAACUUCAGGAAACUGGGGCUAAUACCGGAUAGGAGCUCCUGCUGCAUGGUGGGGGUUGGAAAGUUUCGGCGGUUGGGGAUGGACUCGCGGCUUAUCAGCUUGUUGGUGGGGUAGUGGCUUACCAAGGCUUUGACGGGUAGCCGGCCUGAGAGGGUGACCGGCCCCAUUGGGCCUGAGAUACGGCCCAGACUCCUACGGGAGGCAGCAGUGGGGAAUAUUGCACAAUGGGCGGAAGCCUGAUGCAGCAACGCCGCGUGCGGGAUGACGGCCUUCGGGUUGUAAACCGCUUUCGCCUGUGACGAAGCGUGAGUGACGGUAAUGGGUAAAGAAGCACCGGCUAACUACGUG